AUUCAAUAGAAAUGAAUAAAUGAAGAAGAGAAAAGCAAAGCAAAAUUUCUAUUCAAGCCAAAAGUGAUUAUGAGGAUGACAUGAAGGAAAAGCAUGGGGAAAGAAAUGAAGAAACUGAAACUCCAAUUAUCUGUUAUUCAAUAUGAAAUUAACCUUUAUGUUGAUUGGAUGUAUUUUGUUUUGAUAUUUAUCAUUGGAAUGGUUUAAUGGUUGAAUGUAAAUGCUCCAACUCAACCCUGCGAAUCAAUGCAAUUAAUUGUUGAUGUACCUUCAUUAUGGUUAUCAUUUGCUAGUCUACUUAUCUGCUUUUGAUCCAAGCUGAAUUGUGAACACAAAACUCAUCAGGAUUCAUUUAAUAUGUUGCUGUUGUUUCACCUCAAUGUCAAAACAAAAACUGGAUCAAUUUAGAUUCAACUUGGUCUGAUUUACCUUUCUUGUCCAGUUGAACACACAUCAUUGUUUAGUUAAUAGUUGCUGCUCUAGUGCAUUUAGUGUUAACAAUGUCAAGGCUAGGGAAUUUGCUCGACACUUUGUUCAUCUAUUCCGUUAUGAUAUCAUUCAAACUCAUCAACUGAAACUUCAAUUGUCUAUGAAGUUUCAACAUUUUCUGUCAUCAUUAUCCAUUUUCAAUCAAUUCACUUUAUUGAUCCAAAAUGAAAAUGAAUGAUAAUCAACGUUUUCUCCGAUUUUUUCCUUCCAAUUUCUUCUUUUCCUCUGUAGUAAUCAAUUUGAAAUUAUGAAUGAUUAUCAUUGAUGGUCAACUUGAUUACUACAUACUCAGUAUAUUUGUAUCUAUAUAUUUUGUAAAAGCAAAUUGGUCAAGUUAUAAAUCUUAUUUUUCAUGUUAAACUGUGAUUACCAUGGUCAGCAUAGGAUCCUAUCAUGCUAUAACUCAAUUUACAUAAAAAGAUUAACAGAAAUGAAUUGGAAACAAGCCGAGGAACAUGAUUACAUUGGAAAACAAGUUUGAAUCCAUCAAUCAGAAUAAUAAUGUAAAGAUGAUGCUGAUGCACAAAUAACAACAUUUUUCAUGGACAAAGAGGAAAAUCAAGAAAAUCAAAGAGCCUAAAGUAUGCCAGGUAGAAAGUGAUUACAGCUGUUAGUGAAUUUACUUUAACCCAACAUGGAAAUGUCUUGAACUUUCAAUCAUUAAAUGGAUUCAAAAGGUGAAAAGGGUUAGACAAGGAAAGAAUCGCAAGAAAACUAAAGGAUCAAGAGUCUUGAAUUUGGACAAAUGUUAACAAAUGAAAACAACAAUUAGAUGUCUAGUGUUUGACGGUUAAUUGGAGUUAUUGAUAAUAGACAAAAAAAACAAUCUCAUUGACGAUGUAAUGAUAAAUGGUUGAGAUUAAUAUUUUGCAGGGUGAAAACAUUUCUCAAUAUUGAUGAGAAAGAUUAUUUGAGAUGGAAAAGCUGGUAAUGUUAAUGGUGAUGAUGAACAAAGUAUUGUUGUUGUCCAAAAAGCGAUUCCUAAUGAAAUGAAAAGGAAGGUGAUAUAAUCUAAUUUGGGAGGAAACUUUUACGCCCUUGCGAUUUUUACCAAUUCAAAUUGUCUGAUAAAUGACUUUGAUCAAGAAUGAAAAUAAUACCAAUUGCUAUUAUGCUAACACCAAAGUUUGAUGUAAACCAGUCUGGUGUUUGAACUCAACUACAAUCAGUAAAGUGUAUUAUUCACAUUGACAGCAAGAUUCAAGUUUUAAAUUUGAUCCAAUAUUAAUGUUGAUUAAUAUCCAAGCAAUUUUACUUUUUGAUUGCAAACCUUGUAAUCAGGUUAAACAAGCAAUUAUUCAAGUCUCUCGAGUGAAUGUUGAAAAGAUAUUUAACAAUAAUCAAAUUAAUAAUAAUGAUAAUCUGAAUCGACUGUUUGGUAAAAAAGAGGAGAAAGCACAAAGCUCUAAUCAAUAUCCAGAUUGAUAGGAAUUUAUUUACGCCUUUUCACUUGGACAUAAUCAGGGAAUCAGGAGAAAACGUUUAAAGCGUUGAAACAAUUUUCAUCAUUAUUGGAUGUGAGAAGAAACAAAUGGAUGAAAAGCAGAAUCAUUUCCGAGUCUUUUUUUCCUUGCUUUUUAUUUCUCUGCUCUUGGUUCUAAUGAAUGUGCAAGAAUAGGGAAUGAGAUAUUGAUCAGAAUUGAAUCGCAUGAUUGGAAUAGAAACAAAAGUGAAGAGGAGAGAAAAAAAAGAGGAAAAAAGAAAAGAAAAGAAAGAAGGAGAAAUAAAUCAAGUUGAAAUUAUGUUGUAAUAAUAAGUAUUACAAUUAAAUAAUGGUUAAAGUGAAGAAGGAGAAAUGUUUCAUCCAGAGAAAUGAAUUAUUCAGAUUAAACAAAAGUGUUUUUGGAUUCAACAAACGAGUUAGCAAAGGUUAACAAUAGAUGGCAGUUAUUUUCAGAAAUUGAUUAUUGCUUGAAAAAAGCGCUUUUGGUCAAAAGUUUGAAAUUUCAAGUGAACUUUGACAUUAACAGUUGCCAACUUUAACCUGGUUGAGAUAAACUUGAAGUGUAAACAAUUGGAUUGAUUAAAUGCAUUUAAAAUGCCUUCUAAUUCAAACAUUAAUUGAAAUUCAAAGUGAGUUUAAUGGUUCUCAAUGAGCCUUAAAUGGUUCAAUGAGUUUAACUGGUUAAACCAAAGUAGAGAAGCAACCAAACAAUCAAAAAGGGAACGAAAAACAAACGAAAUUUUCAGGUUCGACUUUUAUUCCAGUUGACAUUUUUGACUUUCAAUUAUUAACAAUGAUUAUCAACUGUUAAGAUAAUUGAAAGGCAAAUAUUCAAAGUUAAUCUGAAAAGUGUUUAUUUACCAUGAAAAACCUUUUAGUCUAAACAUGGUAAUAUUUAUCUAGCAAAUAAUUAAUUUUCCCUGUGACUUUGAUUUCCCUGAUUUGUCCAGUUAAGUCUUGAAUAGAAAAAGGAGAAGAAAAAAAGUUUUCUCUUUUCUCUCAUUCACAUUCAUUCCUCUUUAUUCUGACCUGAAAAUGAAAAUGACCCUAAAUUCAUACAAAUGGUCAAUCCAGAUAAAGGGAAAAAGGACGGAAAAAAGAAAAGGCAAAGUCUGAUUAGAUCUUUUCUCAUCAUCAUCAUCAUCAUCAUCAUCAUCAUCAGUAAAGAACAGUAAUCAUUUUCUUACUCCCAGCCUUAUACCCUUCACUUGUUUUGCCUCCAUUAUCUUCUUAUAAUCAUCUUCAUCUUUAUCCUCUCUUUGAGUCCCAGUGAGUUACAGAAAGGUAAUCAUUAGACUGACUUUGUUUUCAGAAUAAACCAAAACUAAAGUCGACUUAUAGUUUUCAUAGGAAUCUUCAUCUUCUCCUGUUUUACUUUUCAUCAUUGCUGAUCAGUUAUCGAUUAUGUUUACCAUCAUCAACUCACCGACUCACCAACUGAUACAAUGCCAAUGAUAUUUUCAAUAAUUGAGGUCACAAUCAAAGUUACAAGCAAAUCUCUUGAACCCAUUUAGCAAAGGUUUCAAUCAGUUUUUAUAUGUAUUAAGAUGAGCCAAAAAGAGAUUCCUCAAUCAUUCAACUG